rnacentral:rRNA from 1 species
AUUGAACGCUGGCGGCUUGCUUUACACAUGCAAGUCGAACGGUAACAGGCCGCAAGGUGCUGACGAGUGGCGAACGGGUGAGUAAUGCAUCGGAACGUGCCCAGUCGUGGGGGAUAACGCAGCGAAAGCUGCGCUAAUACCGCAUACGAUCUAUGGAUGAAAGCGGGGGACCGUAAGGCCUCGCGCGAUUGGAGCGGCCGAUGUCAGAUUAGGUAGUUGGUGGGGUAAAGGCUCACCAAGCCAACGAUCUGUAGCUGGUCUGAGAGGACGACCAGUCACACUGGGACUGAGACACGGCCCAGACUCCUACGGGAGGCAGCAGUGGGGAAUUUUGGACAAUGGGCGCAAGCCUGAUCCAGCAAUGCCGCGUGCAGGAAGAAGGCCUUCGGGUUGUAAACUGCUUUUGUACGGAACGAAAAGGCUCUGGAUAAUACCUGGGGCUCAUGACGGUACCGUAAGAAUAAGCACCGGCUAACUACGUGCCAGCCGCCGCCGUAAAAC